UCCUAAUAUCAACAUGUAUCCUAGUCCAAUAAGGACUCUUGUUUCAAGAUGUUUUGGAAUCUUCUUAAGCUCUUCUUCUUCUGUCAUUUGUGUCAUUUCUCCGAGCUUGACUCCUAGUUAGAGGCAAAUACCCUUGAAUCUCCAUCCCCGCGGCUACUGAUCGACAACGAUUUAUAUUUGAGGAAGAAAGGCAGGAUUAACAGGUGGUCGGCUCUAUUUUACUUGUCCACACUGACGGGUCAUAUCCCUCAAAGGCUCAAAUCAAAAUGUACUAACAAAGAAUUGUGCAGAUGGUUGGUUGUCAUGGCCUUAUAACUUCAUGCAAGAGCACAUUCUGAGACUUCCUCAUAUCCAGCCUCACAGCCAACAAAAUGUAUGAGUAGAGAAAGCUAUUUUCCAUCUUAGACUCUUCCUAUAAUAGACCUUUGAAACAAUGCUGUUCGCUUUUGCUCUGGCAGCAGGUAACUUUUGGAGAACUGAGUAACAAACACUCGUAACUUUUGAGAAUUUUGAUUAUUGGGAACAUUGAUUUAUGGCUCUAGGAAAUUCUAGAUGUAGGAAUUUAAGGAGGAUUCUCUUAUGUUUCUGUCACGUGCUAGGCAAAAUAGUUUCUUAAAAUUGAUCCACUCUGCAUUAGGAGGACAAUUUGUCCACAGGUA